rnacentral:rRNA from 1 species
GAAUUUUGGACAAUGGGGGCAACCCUGAUCCAGCCAUGCCGCGUGUGUGAAGAAGGCCUUCGGGUUGUAAAGCACUUUCGGCCGGAACGAAAUCGCGCGGGCGAAUAUCCCGCGCGGAUGACGGUACCGGAAGAAGAAGCCCCGGCUAACUCCGUGCCCGCAGCCGCGGUAAUACGUAGGGUGCGAGCGUUAAUCGGAAUUACUGGGCGUAAAGUGUGCGCAGGUGGCUGAGCAAGUCGAGUGUGAAAUCCCCGGGCUUAACUUGGGAAUUGCGCUCGAAACUACUUGGCUCGAGUGUGGCAGAGGAAGGUGGAAUUCCACGUGUAGCGGUGAAAUGCGUAGAGAUGUGGAGGAACACCGAUGGCGAAGGCAGCCUUCUGGGCCAACACUGACGCUCAUGCACGAAUGCGUGGGGAGCAAACAGG